UGCCAGCAGCCGCGGUAAUACGGGGGGAGCAAGCGUUGUCCGGAAUCAUUGGGCGUAAAGGGUGCGUAGGCGGCCCAUCAAGUUAGACGUGAAAGCCCCGGGCUCAACCUGGGAAUUGCGUUUAAUACUGGUGAGCUAGAGUACGAGAGAGGAAAGUGGAAUUCCUAGUGUAGAGGUGAAAUUCGUAGAUAUUAGGAAGAACACCAGUGGCGAAGGCGACUUUCUGGCUCGUAACUGACGCUGAGGCACGAAAGCGUGGGGAGCAAACAGGAUUAGAUA
rnacentral:rRNA from 1 species